GUAACGAGCGCAACCCUUGUCCUUAGUUACCAGCACGUUAUGGUGGGCACUCUAAGGAGAACUGCCGGUGGACAAACCGGAGGAAGGUGGGGAUGACGUCAAGUCAUCAUGGCCCUUACGGCCUGGGCUACACACGUGCUACAAUGGUCGGUACAAAGGGUUGCCAAGCCGCGAGGUGGAGCUAAUCCCAUAAAACCGAUCGUAGUCCGGAUCGCAGUCUGCAACUCGACUGCGUGAAGUCGGAAUCGCUAGUAAUCGUGAAUCAGAAUGUCACGGUGAAUACGUUCCCGGGCCUU
rnacentral:rRNA from 1 species